UACGUAGGGUGCAAGCGUUAAUCGGAAUUACUGGGCGUAAAGCGUGCGCAGGCGGUGAUGUAAGACAGUUGUGAAAUCCCCGGGCUCAACCUGGGAACUGCAUCUGUGACUGCAUCGCUGGAGUACGGUAGAGGGGGAUGGAAUUCCGCGUGUAGCAGUGAAAUGCGUAGAUAUGCGGAGGAACACCGAUGGCGAAGGCAAUCCCCUGGACCUGUACUGACGCUCAUGCACGAAAGCG
rnacentral:rRNA from 1 species